GAUCCAAACCUGUUUUAUUUGUUGCUCCAGGAAAUUUUCGUUCCUAAUGGGGUCUUUGUUUGUUGUUUUGAUUUCCAAGGACAGGAGCUUGAAUCAUGUCUUACCGAAAAGGAAAGAUAUAUCAAGGAAUUGGAAACUAAUUUAGGUGCACGAAAAGAAAUUAAUAGUCAUCAGCACAGUGAAUUGAAGGUGCUCAAUGAAAAGAGAAAUAACGAGGCAAGAAGAAUGAAGUCAUUGGAGAGGGAGGGUAACCGUGUACGUUCUGAAAUUUUCCUAUUCAAGUCCAAGGUUAGACUCCGCUUGGGACUUUGGGAUGCAUAAGUUCAAUCUAGAUUGAUUUAUUUUGGCAUUCUACUGGUGUGUGGAGGAAAUGUUCAAAAUUCUUUAAAGCUUGGCAAUGUAGCUCACACAACAGUCGCGGAAGAAUGAUUCAAAGGAGAACUCCCAAUAUGUGUAGAUUUGUUUUUACUUAGACAUUCAAGUUUUUGAAACUAUCGUGAAACAUGAAUGUGCAUGUGGAUGGUGUUUUGCGUUUGGUGUGUUGCUUUUCCUCUUUAACGGACAUGACAUUUGUACCUUGCACAUAGACUUUCUGGCAGCUGUGCACCUACAACGUCUGCAAAUAACCCUUUUGCUACUUUAAAACCAUCUACCUAUAACUACUGCAAACUUUUCUGUGCUUAUGCUACUGCAACAGCUGCCAAUAGAUUGCACAGUAUGUAAUUUCUAUAUGCAAGGAAGAACUAAUGCCUUGGCUGUUUUGAUCAAUACAUGUGCUGUGCCUUCGUAGCUA